GACGGGCCCCGCACAAGCAGCGGAGCGUGUGGUUUAAUUCGUUGCUACACGAAGAACCUUACCUGGGUUUGACAUAAUGGUGGUAGGGAUCCGAAAGGUGACCGACCCUUCGGGGAGCUUGCACAGGUGCUGCAUGGCUGUCGUCAGCUCGUGUCGUGAGAUGUUCGGUUAAGUCCGCUAACGAGCGCAACCCUCGCUGUGUGUUACAAGUGUCACACGGUACUGCCGGUCUUAAGCCGGAGGAGGGUGGGGAUGACGUCAAGUCAGCAUGGCCUUUAUGUCCUGGGCUACACACACGCUACAAUGGCCAACACAAUAGGUUGCUAAGCCGCGAGGUGGAGCCAAUCCUCAAAGUUGGUCUCAGUUCAGAUUGCAGGCUGCAACCCGCCUGCAUGAAGAUGGAGUUGCUAGUAACCGCAGGUCAGCUAUACUGCGGUGAAUACGUUCCCGGGGCUU
rnacentral:rRNA from 1 species